UAACCUGGAGGGUAACUUGGGGGCUCAGCACAUUAUCAACAACACGUUUUUUCCCCUACCUUUCCACUCUGUCACCUGGGUUGUUGGCUUCAACAAAGUAGUAAUAGAAGUAUCUGCUCUUUUGUCUUUAUUGGAAGAGCAAAACCCCCUCGUAAACUCCCAACUGACCAGAAUUACAUCAUAUUGAUUUAAGCUUAGGAUCUAUAUAAGACCACCAUAUUUGGAUUAGACCAGGUAACCGGUCUUUCUAGGCCUCCAAGAAACACUUGGCCAGGGAGGAGGAGAACAAAUUCUGUUAGGAGGAUGUUGGGGCAGAAUUGAGUGGGUAUUAAGUGGGUAAACAAUAGUGCUAUACCAGCCACAGUGGGCUUUAUAAAGAAAUUGAUAGCCACUAUAGGUUCUUGUACAAGUUUCUUUCUUUUUUUUUUUUUUUAGAUGGAGUCUCGCUCUGUGGCCAGGCUGGAGUGCAGUGGCGCGAUCUUGGCUCACUGCAACCUCCGCCUCCCCGGUUCAAGUGGUUCUCCUGCCUCAGCCUCCUGAGUAGCUGGGACUACAGGCGUGUGCCACCCCGUCCAGCUAAUUUCUGUAUUUUUAGUAGAGGCGGGGUUUCACCAUGUUGGCCAGGAUGGUCUUGUUCUCUUGACCUGGUGAUCCGCCCUCCUCAGCCUCCCAAAGUGUUGGGAUUACAGGCGUGAGCCACUGUGCCUGGCCUGUACAAGUUUUUAUCCACAGCCUGUUUCUCUUCUUGUACUUUCUCCCAGGGCAGUCCCAUUUCACGUCUGUAAUUUCUAGUACCACCUAUAUACUCAGGGUAGCAAAGGAUGUAUCUCUAACCUAGACUUCUCCCUCAGGUGACAGUCCUGGAUAUCUGACUAUUUUGUGGACAACUCUUGGAUGAUCUGAAACUGAAAGAUUCAUUCCACAAAUAGUUAUGUGUAUCUAGUAUGUGCCAAGCAUUGUUGUUUUCUUGUCCCUCGUCCCCACUCCCCUGGUGUUAGUGGGGAUAUAGCAGUGAAAAACAAAAACAAACAACAGAUUAAAAGUCCUGCCUUGACAGAAUUUAUAUUCUAGUGGAGGAGUCAUACAAACAAGAAAAGUGAGUACAUUAUGGGUGUUACAUAAUUAUAAUAGCUAAUUCGAAAUAAAGCAGGAAAUAAGGCUAGGUGCUAGGGGCAUGGGAGACCUAUCAAUUUUAUAGUGGUCAGAGAAGGCUUCAUUGAGAAGGUGACAUUUGAGUAAAGACUUGAAGGAGGUGAAGAAAUGAAACUUGAGACUUGUGACUAAUUGUCACAGCAUUCCAGGUCAAGGAAGCAGCCAAUUCCUCGUUCUAAGGCAGGAAGUCGUGUUGGGGAUGGCAGUAAGAGUGAGUGGAGCAGAGUGAGCACAAGGAGGAGCAUUCGGAGAUGAAGUCAGAGGCUGGGCCGUGCGCCCUGUUGUAGGUCAGUGAAAGGACUUUAGGUUUUACUCUAGGGUUAAAAGUCCCUAAAGGGUUUUGAGUAGAAGCUUGACAUAGUUUGAUUAAAAAAAUUUGUUUUUUCUAGUUGUUUGGUUGAGAAUAGACUGAAGUGGGGCAAAGGCAGAAGCAGAGAGACCAGAUAGGAAGCUGCUCCCAAUAAGGCUGGUGAGAGGGUGGCUUGGAUCUGGUGUAGGUGUGGUGCUCGGGCCCGAGAGAUGCAGUGAGUCAGUGCCGAGGCCAUGUCGGGGGACAGACUGCCUUGCUUUCAGUGGAGCUUGGUUCUGGAUCUGGGACAAAAGUGGUGGGAAGAUCCCAGCUCAAUUUUGAAGGUAGAACAGAUUGGACGUGACGUGGUGCACGAGAGAAAGAAAGGCAAAAGAGAUGAACCUAAGGUUUCUGAUUAAAUGUUAGACAUUGUGUAGGAAAAAAAUCACAUAGAGGCUCUGGCAAAAAAAAAAAAACUAAAUAAAUAAAUAAAAAAUAAAUAAAUAAAUUGCAUAGAGACUGUGGCUGAUGUUGUGUUUCUCCAGAAAGGAUUUAAUUUUAUUCUGGCAAGCAAUUAGAGUAGGAACGGAUGACUUUUUUUUUUUUUUUUUUUGAGGCGGAGUUUUGCUCUUGUUGCCCAGGCUGGAGUACAAUGGCACUGUCUUGGCUCACUGUGGCCUCCACCUCCCGGGUUCAAGCAAUUCUCCUGUCUCACCUCCCAGGUAGCUGGGAUUACAGGUGUGCACCACCAUGCCCGGCCAAUUUUGUAUUUUUUUAGUAGAGACUGGGUUUCACCAUGUUGAUCAGGCUGGUCUCGAACUCCUGACCUCAAGUGAUCCACCUGCAUUGGCCUCCUAAAGUACUGGGAUUACAGGUGUGAGCCCCUGCGCCUGGCCUCAGAUGACCUUUAAUUAGGGAUUCAGACUUUGUGAGGGCUGAUCAUUUUCUAGUUUGGCCUUAUCCCAGAGCUAGGCCUUUCUAUUCUUUCUCAACAUGAACAUCUGUGGUAUUUAACAGGUCCCCAUCUUUGGGUGACCUUGAACUCCAAUUUUUGUACUCCCAGCUCUGUGAGACUGUUGAAAUGUACACUUAGCAUUUUAGCUAUUUAGCAACUGUUUGGUUUCUUGAUUUCCAGUGCCCUUACAGCUUAGAAUUCAGCAAAUGCCUCAAGGAUAAAAGCCAAACUAAAUGUCAGACUGGCUUCUCUAUGAUCCUCCUUUCUUUGGGAUCUGUCCCUUCAAGUCCUAUCCGCAGUUUUCAACUCCAAUUUUUUAUCUCCCCGUAUCUGAAAGGGCCCUGAUACCUCCAGGUCACUGCUUUCUGCUCGCCAUAAAUGCCCUGCACAAAACUCAGCAAAUGACCCAAUCAGAAAAAGCAAUGGAGAAGUUCUGUAUCACUUUAUGCAUCUGUCUUCUGGGAUCCCAGUCUCUCAUGUCUUGACCAUCUUGGUUGCUCUCCAGUGUCUUCAAACAGCCUGUGUAGUUUUUGUUAUGUGUGCUUUUUUAAAUGUUCAGCUCUUGUGCUUAUUCCCAUGAGAGGACUGGUUUAAUUUAAACUAUUCAAUUACAGCUAGAGGCCAUGAUAAAGUUGUUGACUAGAGUAUCUGGAAGAAUGGAGUUGCCAUUUAGUGAUAGAGGGAACGCUGGGGAGGAUCCAUUAUUGGAGUGAGCAUUAGCAGCUUGGUCUGGGGCACAUCAAGCUUGGAAGGCAUGUUAGUCAUCCAAGUGGAGAUGUUGAGUAGACAGUUGGACAUGGGAGUCUAGAGUUUCAGGAGAUUGGUCUGGGCUACAGAAGUGGAUUUUUGAAUCAACAGCCAUGAGACUUGAUAAGAUUACCAAGGGAGUGUAGAGAGAUAAGGCCUUGAGUGUUCCAAUAUUUAGAGUUUGGAAAGAUGAGGAAUAAUCAGCAAAGGAGACUGCAAAAGAGGGCCAACAAAAUGGUAGAAAAUGCGGAAAGCCUGGUCACCUGGGAGUUAAGUAAUGAAAGUGUUUCAAGGAGAAAGUAAUCAGCUGUAUCUAAUGCUAUACAUGUGCUAAGCAAGAUAAGAACAUUGGAUCUAGCAGCAUAGAGGUCUCUGGUGAUCUGAAAAAAGGCAACUUUCAUGAAGUUGUAGAAGAGAAAGUUCAGUUAUAAUGGAUCCUGAAGAGAGUGACAGAAGAGCGAUUUAUGACUCAAGGAAAGAAAAAACAAAUGGGCUGGUAGUUAAAGGGAAAUUGAGUCAAGAAAAGGUUCAAUAUUUUUUAAUGGUAGAAUUGACCGUAUGUGUAUGUGCUUCUAGAAGUGAUUCAGGAGAGAGGGUGGAAUGGAUGGUGUGGGACGGAGGGAAGAAUUGGUGGAAUGAUGUUGGCAAAAAGGAAUAGGCUUUUGUGCAUAAGUUGAGGGAUUGGCCUUGCCUAGAAACAUGGACAAUUCGUCUAUAGUAAGAAGAGAAAAGGUAGAUCUAUGACCACAGACAUAGUCAGAUAAUCAUUUUAAAAUUCUUUAAUCAAUAGAUGUUUCUGAUGUAUGGCAGGCAGUAAGCUAAGCAGUUUACAUACCUGAUUUCAUUUAGUUAUUAUAACAAUCCCAGUCUAACAAUGAGGUAGAUUCUGAUAUUAUUCCCAUUUAAUUUGCAAGGAACUGAAAUUUAGAGAAGUUAAAAUGACUUACCAAAGUCAUAUAGCAAGCAAGUGACAGGACCAAGACUUAAGCCCUUGACUGCUGGACUCUAGAACUUAAGCAAGAAAGCAUCAGCUUAUGAUGUUCAUUGUCCUCCCACUCCCAGAUCCCCCAUUUCUUGCCCCUUUUGCUUGUUCCCCCUCCCCUCAUUCUCCAUAUCCCAAUAAUCACUAAGUCCUGUCCAUUUUACUUCCUCAGUGUUUCUUGCUUCUGGAUCCUCUUUUUUGUAUCCUUCCUAUUCCUACCAGCCUUUGACCUCAUCAUUCUGACCUCAUGUAGUCUAAAUUAAAUCGUCUAUGGAACCAAACAAUAAUCGAACAGAAUGUGAUCCUUGAUCAUGCUUGCUCCAUAACCCACUGCCUAAUGAGUUCAAGUUUCUUAAACUAUGCUAUAAGCCUGCCACUACCCGGUUACUGCGUAUUUUUCGAAUUUCACAUCUCACUGAUUUCUGUCUUGUACUUUUUUUCUCAGCAGAGCUGAGCGCUUGCAGUCCCACUGCAUGAACUAUCAUGUUUCCACGCUGUGUUUGUGCUUUAUGAUUUUUCCUUGUCUCUUUUCCUGGAUUUUUU
rnacentral:lncRNA from 10 species